CUUGAGCCAAAAUGGCUGGUACUAUGUCUCUUGCACUCGCUGCAGCAAAAAACUAGACAGAUCUGCCGCAUCUCUCCGCUGCAACCAAUGUGUUAAUCACAAUGUCACCAAUGUAGUAAAGUACCAUGUUGAAUUAUUGGUUGAUGAUGGGAAUAACUAUGCCACUUUUGUUGUGUUCGACAAGGAGAUGCUUAAGCUCGCUAAGCAAGAUGCAGCUGCUCUUCUUCUUGAUGAGGUUUUUAUUUCUUCCCACCAACAUCUCUCAACACUCUAACAAUCACUCAAACCUCUAACUACUGCAGGUUAAUAGUGGUGUCGACAAGAAACUCAAGGCAGAACUUGGAGGGACAGAUUUAGAUUUCCAUAUACGUGUCACUCCACACAAUUUCUCCCCAGACCACUGCACCUUCACCGUUUCCGCAGCCAGUGACAGUUUUAACACCGAGAGUUGCAACAUCAAUGAAACACCAUUUGUUGAAGGGAAAUGUGGGGACGCAUCCACUUCCGCUUCUGCCAGCAACACAUCUACGGCUGAUGUGAAAGGUGGACGCAUACACCCCCAUGAAUGAGAGUUUUUAAGCAAU